UCGAGAUUUCCAGAAGAGCCAGGGAGCUCUCAUCUUCAAACCCUAGACUCACUAAUUGCUCAAAAUCAAGGAGAAUUCAAGACCCGAAUUGAAGCAUGAACGUAUAUUAGUGAUCACCCAAGCUAGGGGAUCAUAAGUUUGACUCUUGACAAGCUAGAUGGAGGCUUGGGGAAAGAAGCGGGUCGAACGAGUCAAGUAUGAAGGAAAGCGCAUUUAGGAUGCGAGGUGAAUGUCAAGAGUGCCCGGAUGAAGAUCAAGUGGCGAGCAAGAACCGAACAUACGCUAAAUGAAGCUUCCGCGUCAAAUCUGGAGUUGUUUGCUAAAAGUGAAUUAUGUAAACAUUUAUAAACAUGUACUUUUUGAAAUGUUGUAAACUAUGGGAAUGUUAGCAUAUCAAGUUUAUAUUAUUGUAAAGUCACAUUUUAGCCUAUAAAAUGUGUAUCUUAUUAAUAAA